rnacentral:lncRNA from 1 species
GUCCGCCCAUCCUCCGAAUCCAACGCCUGCCAUGUCCAACAUCCCGCGAUCUCUCUGCGACUCCUCCCUCGCCCUCUUCUCCCUCGCCAUCUCCAGCUCCGAUCCUUGGCCCUUCUCCGCCGCCUUCUUCUCUCUCUAGCACACCCAGCCUGUAAAUCCUCUGUCUAUCUGACUGUCUGUCUGUCUGUCUCUGUCUCUCUCUCUCUCUCUACCUUUCUGUGCUUGGAAAAGCAAGGGUGAUGGGGAGCGGCGACAGCCACCUGCUGAGCGCGCUGCGCCACCACCUCCACAGCGGCGGCGGGAGCAGGAGGGAGAGCCAGAGCCAGGCGGCGCAUCAUGUUCCGAGGGGGUGCGUGGCGGUGAUGGUGGGGAGAGAAGGGGAGGAGGAACUGGAGCGCUUCGUGGUGCCGCUUUCCUACUUGGGCCACCCGCUGUUCGCGCCUCUGCUCCGGGAGGCGGCGGAGGAGUACGGCUUCCGCCACCCCGGCGCCGUCGCCCUCCCCUGCUCCCCCGCCGAGUUCCGCUCCGUCCGGGCCCUCGUCGACCGCGAACAGCUCCUCCUCUCCCAUCCCAACGGCGGCGCCGCCGGCCACCACCAUCUCCACCUUCCCCACCACCUGGUGGGCUGCUUCCGGGCAUGAUAAUCCGCCGCCAUGGCGGCGUUCCCGAUCGCGGGUCGUCCUCCGUUCUGUCCAAGAUCUCUCCUUUUUGUGAAACCCAUGCGUUCACGCCAAGAAUCGGAACACUUUAGGGUUUCGAUUUCUUCCAGAUGGUCAAACCCCGGCCGAUUGCUUCUCUCCGGAGAUCGGGGCGGGCCCAGCCGUGUUCGCCAGGCCAACUAGUUGGGCCACGGAAUGGUGUGAUCUUGUUUAUUUUAUUUAUGGAUUUAUUCAAAUAAAAAGGUUGAAACUUUGACGAGAAG